rnacentral:pre_miRNA from 1 species
ACAGCAAGGGCCUGAUUCAAAGCCCACUGAAGUUAUUGGGAGUCUUUCCAUUGACUUUAAUGGGCUUUGGAAUCAAGCCCAAAUUGG